ensembl:snRNA U4 U4 spliceosomal RNA
AGCUUUGUGCAGUGGCAGUAUCGUAGCCAAUGAGGUUUAUCCGAGGCGCGAUUAUUGCUAAUUGAAACAUCUUUAUUCGAAAAAACAAGUAUGACAAACUAUGGUUGUUCAGACUAUGGUACUGGCAGACAUUUUCUUGA